AUGCCAAACUUCUGCAUUUUGUGCAUCCCGGCCAACUCUGGUGGUAGUACACCGGUGAGCUGGUUCGUGGACAGGUCCGCAAAACUGAGAUUACCAAGGUUGCCCAGCUGCGGUGGAAUUGUGGAAACCAACAUGGCACUCCUCAGGUCAAGGCGAUGUAGCAUUUGGAGCCUGCCAAGAACCGGCGGGAUCGGACCGCCAAACAGGUUGCCGCCGAGUACAAGAACUCUUAGCUGGGACAUCGACCCAAGGAAAUCUGGGAUGCCUCUAGUCAGAUUGUUGGCCGCAAUCUGCAGGUCCCGGAGCUUCCUCAGCAUCGACAGCGACACUGGUAUCCGACCGGAGAAUGCAUUGGCGGACAAGUUGAGGUACAUGAGGCUGGGGAGCUUCUUCAGCAGCGUGUCCGGUAAUGGCCUUGAGAAAUUGUUCUCCGACAGGUCGAGGUAG
rnacentral:rRNA from 1 species